GAAACCCUUGCCUAGUGGUAGAGCGUCAGCCUCGGAUGCGGGAGGAUGCGGGUUCAAAUCCCGGCCGGGUCAUAUCA